AUGCAAGUCGAACGAUGAUCUCCCGCUUGCGGGGGUGAUUAGUGGCGAACGGGUGAGUUUUACGUGAGUAACUGCCCUUGACUCUGGGAUAAGCCUGGGAAACCGGGUCUAAUACUGGAUACGACUCCUCGUCGCAUGGUGGGGGGUGGAAAGGGUUUGACUGGUUUUGGAUGGGCUCACGGCCUAUCAGCUUGUUGGUGGGGUAAUGGCUCACCAAGGCGACGACGGGUAGCCGGCCUGAGAGGGUGACCGGCCACACUGGGACUGAGACACGGCCCAGACUCCUACGGGAGGCAGCAGUGGGGAAUAUUGCACAAUGGGCGGAAGCCUGAUGCAGCGACGCCGCGUGAGGGAUGACGGCCUUCGGGUUGUAAACCUCUUUCAGCAGGGAAGAAGCCACAAGUGACGGUACCUGCAGAAGAAGCGCCGGCUAACUACGUGCCAGCAGCCGCGGUAAUACGUAGGGCGCAAGCGUUGUCCGGAAUUAUUGGGCGUAAAGAGCUCGUAGGCGGUUUGUCGCGUCUGCUGUGAAAGCCCGGGGCUCAACCCCGGGUCUGCAGUGGGUACGGGCAGACUAGAGUGCAGUAGGGGAGACUGGAAUUCCUGGUGUAGCGGUGAAAUGCGCAGAUAUCAGGAGGAACACCGAUGGCGAAGGCAGGUCUCUGGGCUGUUACUGACGCUGAGGAGCGAAAGCAUGGGGAGCGAACAGGAUUAGAUACCCUGGUAGUCCAUGCCGUAAACGUUGGGCACUAGGUGUGGGGGACAUUCCACGUUCUCCGCGCCGUAGCUAACGCAUUAAGUGCCCCGCCUGGGGAGUACGGCCGCAAGGCUAAAACUCAAAGGAAUUGACGGGGGCCCGCACAAGCGGCGGAGCAUGCGGAUUAAUUCGAUGCAACGCGAAGAACCUUACCAAGGCUUGACAUUCACCGGACCGCCCCAGAGAUGGGGUUUCCCUUCGGGGUCGGUGGACAGGUGGUGCAUGGUUGUCGUCA
rnacentral:rRNA from 1 species